GACGAACGCUGGCGGCGUGCUUAACACAUGCAAGUCGAACGCUGUAGCUUGGUGCUUGCACUGGGUGGAUGAGUGGCGAACGGGUGAGUAAUACGUGAGUAACCUGCCCUUGACUCUGGGAUAAGCCUGGGAAACUGGGUCUAAUACUGGAUACGACAUGUCACCGCAUGGUGGUGUGUGGAAAGGGUUUUACUGGUUUUGGAUGGGCUCACGGCCUAUCAGCUUGUUGGUGGGGUAAUGGCUCACCAAGGCGACGACGGGUAGCCGGCCUGAGAGGGUGACCGGCCUCACUGGGACUGAGACACGGCCCAGACUCCUACGGGAGGCAGCAGUGGGGAAUAUUGCACAAUGGGCGGAAGCCUGAUGCAGCGACGCCGCGUGAGGGAUGACGGCCUUCGGGUUGUAAACCUCUUUCAGCACGGAAGAAGCGAAAGUGACGGUACGUGCAGAAGAAGCGCCGGCUAACUACGUG
rnacentral:rRNA from 1 species